GACGAACGCUGGCGGCGUGCUUAACACAUGCAAGUCGAACGGUGACGAAGAGCUUGCUCUUCUGAUCAGUGGCGAACGGGUGAGUAACACGUGAGCAACCUACCCUUGACUCUGGGAUAACAGUUGGAAACAGCUGCUAAUACCGGAUACGACCCCGGCAGGCAUCUGCGGGGGUGGAAAGCUCCGACGGUCAAGGAUGGGCUCGCGGCCUAUCAGCUUGUUGGUGAGGUAAUGGCUCACCAAGGCGACGACGGGUAGCCGGCCUGAGAGGGCGACCGGCCACACUGGGACUGAGAUACGGCCCAGACUCCUACGGGAGGCAGCAGUGGGGAAUAUUGCACAAUGGGCGAAAGCCUGAUGCAGCAACGCCGCGUGCGGGAUGACGGCCUUCGGGUUGUAAACCGCUUUCAGCAGGGACGAAGUGAAAAUGACGGUACCUGCAGAAGAAGCACCGGCUAACUACGUGCCAGCCGCCGCCGUAAUAC
rnacentral:rRNA from 1 species